GUGGGGAAUUUUGGACAAUGGGCGCAAGCCUGAUCCAGCAAUGCCGCGUGCAGGAAGAAGGCCUUCGGGUUGUAAACUGCUUUUGUACGGAACGAAACGGUCCUGGUUAAUACCUGGGGCUAAUGACGGUACCGUAAGAAUAAGCACCGGCUAACUACGUGCCAGCAGCCGCGGUAAUACGUAGGGUGCAAGCGUUAAUCGGAAUUACUGGGCAUAAAGCGUGCGCAGGCGGUUUUGUAAGACAGGCGUGAAAUCCCCGGGCUCAACCUGGGAAUUGCGAUUGUGACUGCAAGGCUGGAGUGCGGGAGAGGGGGAUGGAAUUCCGCGUGUAGCAGUGAAAUGCGUAGAUAUGCGGAGGAACACCGAUGGCGAAGGCAAUCCCCUGGGCCUGCACUGACGCUCAUGCACGAAAGCGUGGGGAGCAAACAGGAUUAGAAACCCGGGUAGUCC
rnacentral:rRNA from 1 species